rnacentral:rRNA from 1 species
UACGGAGGGGGCGAGCGUUAUUCGGAAUUAUUGGGCGUAAAGAGCGCGCAGGCGGUCGUUCAAGUCGAGUGUGAAAGCCCCCGGCUCAACUGGGGAGGGUCACUCGAUACUGAUCGACUUGAAGGCAGGAGAGGGAAGCGGAAUUCCCGGUGUAGUGGUGAAAUGCGUAGAUAUCGGGAGGAACACCAGUGGCGAAGGCGGCUUCCUGGCCUGUUCUUGACGCUGAGGCGCGAAAGCUAGGGGAGCAAACGGG